rnacentral:miRNA from 1 species
UUCAAGUUGUCUGAGUGGGGCCUGAGAUUCUGCGUUUUUAACAAGCUCCCAGGGGAGCUGCUGCUCCUGGUCCGUAG